UGGGAUGUAGCUCAGUGGUAGGGCGCUUGCCUAGACUGCAUGAAGCCUUGGGUUCCAUCCCCAGCACCAUGA
rnacentral:tRNA from 1 species